rnacentral:tRNA from 1 species
CGGAGUGUGGCUCAGCCCGAUUAGCGCACUAGUCUGGGAGACGAGGGGUCGGAGGUUCAUAUCCUCUCGCUCCGACCA